GCAGGGAUGGCAGAGCGGCUAAUGCGGCAGACUGCAGAUCUGUUUUUUGGGAGUUCAACUCUCCCUCCCUGCA
rnacentral:tRNA from 1 species